rnacentral:rRNA from 1 species
AGAGUUUGAUCAUGGCUCAGAACGAACGCUGGCGGCGUGGAUAAGACAUGCAAGUCGAACGGAAUCAUUGUUGUAGUAAUACAGUGAUGGUUUAGUGGCGAACGGGUGCGUAACACGUGGAUACAUUCCGGGAAGCGGGGGAUAGCCCAGGGAAACUUGGAUUAAUACCGCAUGUGGUCGAGAGACUAAAGACGGGGAUCGAAAGACCUGUCACUUUCCGAUUGGUCCGCGGCCUAUCAGCUAGUUGGCGGGGUAAAAGCCCACCAAGGCGACGACGGGUAGCUGGUCUUAGAGGACGACCAGCCACACUGGAACUGAGACACGGUCCAAACACCUACGGGUGGCAGCAGUCGAGAAUCUUUCACAAUGGGGGCAACCCUGAUGGAGCGACGCCGCGUGGAGGAUAAGGUCUUCGGAUUGUAAACUCCUGUCAUGCGCGAACAAGGCUGGUUGGAUAAUACCUGAUCAGAUUGAUGGUAGCGCAAGAGGAAGAGACGGCUAACUCUGUGCCAGCAGCCGCGGUAAUACAGAGGUCUCAAGCGUUGUUCGGAAUCACUGGGCGUAAAGGGUGCGUAGGUGGCGAGGUAAGUCAGAUGUGAAAGCCCAGGGCUCAACCUUGGAAUUGCAUCCGAUACCGCUUUGCUAGAGUACUGGAGGGGUGACUAGAAUUCUCGGUGUAGCAGUGAAAUGCGUAGAUAUCGAGAGGAAUACCAAAGGCGUAGGCAGGUCACUGGACAGUUACUGACACUGAGGCACGAAGGCCAGGGUAGCGAACGGGAUUAGAUACCCCGGUAGUCCUGGCAGUAAACGGUGCAUACUUGGUGUGGGAAGAUUCGACCCUUCCUGUGCCGGAGCUAACGCGUUAAGUAUGCCGCCUGGGAAGUACGGUCGCAAGAUUAAAACUCAAAGAAAUUGACGGGGACCCGCACAAGCGGUGGAGUAUGUGGCUUAAUUCGAUGCAACGCGAAGAACCUUACCUGGUCUUGACAUGCACUGUGUCUCCGAUGAAAGUCGGAUAGGAUAGCAAUAUCCGCUUUGCACAGGUGCUGCAUGGCUGUCGUCAGCUCGUGUCGUGAGAUGUUGGGUUAAGUCCCGCAACGAGCGCAACCCCUGUGGUUUGUUGCCACCCGGUUUACCGGAGCACUCGAACCAGACUGCCUCGAUCAACGAGGAGGAAGGUGGGGAUGACGUCAAGUCCGUAUGGCCCUUACGACCAGGGCUGCACACGUACUACAAUGCCCAGCACAAUGUGAACCGAAACCGCGAGGUGGAGGAAAUCAGUAAAACUGGGCUCAGUUCAGAUUGUAGUCUGCAACUCGACUACAUGAAGUUGGAAUCGCUAGUAAUGGUACAUCAGCUACGGUACCGUGAAUACGUUCCCGGGUCUUGUACACACCGCCCGUCACAUCAUGGAAGCUGGUUUCGCCCGAAGUGCGUGAGUCAACCGCAAGGAGACAGCGCCCUAAGGCAAGACUGGUAACUGGGAUGAAGUCGUAACAAGGUA